rnacentral:rRNA from 1 species
AUCCAUAUGUCGCGGCCUAUCAGCUUGUUGGUGGGGUAAUGGCCUACCAAGGCGACGACGGGUAGCCGGCCUGGGAGGGUGUCCGGCCACACUGGGACUGAGAUACGGCCCAGACUCCUACGGGAGGCAGCAGUGGGGAAUAUUGCACAAUGGGCGCAAGCCUGAUGCAGCGACGCCGCGUGAGGGAUGACGGCCUUCGGGUUGUAAACCUCUUUCAGCAGGGACGAAGCGCAAGUGACGGUACCUGUAGAAGAAGGACCGGCCAACUACGUGCCAGCAGCCGCGGUAAUACGUAGGGUCCGAGCGUUGUCCGGAAUUACUGGGCGUAAAGAGCUCGUAGGUGGUUUGUCGCGUUGUUCGUGAAAACUCACAGCUUAACUGUGGGCGUGCGGGCGAUACGGGCAGACUUGAGUACUGCAGGGGAGACUGGAAUUCCUGGUGUAGCGGUGGAAUGCGCAGAUAUCAGGAGGAACACCGGUGGCGAAGGCGGGUCUCUGGGCAGUAACUGACGCUGAGGAGCGAAAGCGUGGGGAGCGAACAGGAUUAGAUACCCUGGUAGUCCACGCCGUAAACGGUGGGUACUAGGUGUGGGUUUCCUUCCUUGGGAUCCGUGCCGUAGCUAACGCAUUA